rnacentral:rRNA from 1 species
UACGUAGGGUGCAAGCGUUGUUCGGAAUCAUUGGGCGUAAAGCGCGUGUAGGCUGUUAAUUAAGUCGGGUGUGAAAUCCCUGGGCUCAACCGAGGAAGUGCAUCCGAAACUAAUUAGCUAGAGUAUGGUAGAGGAAGGUGGAAUUCCUAGUGUAGAGGUGAAAUUCGUAGAUAUUAGGAGGAAUACCGGUGGCGAAGGCGGCCUUCUGGACCAUUUCUGACGCUGAGACGCGAAAGCGUGGGGAGCAAACAGG